CACAUGGUCAUGACAACAUCAAAGGUCCUUUAGCCCAUUAAUCUUUGUCCUGGUACUUCCUAGAGUGUAUGGGCCUUGGAGAGGUUUACGUGCUGUCGCUCUGAGACUGAAAAGAAGCAAUUAGGUUCCUACAAUACAGGAUCCGCUCAGUGGAGAUCUUCUAUAUAAGAUCCUUCUCCUGAUUGACUCGUCAAGGAUGGAGAGGGACAGAAACAAUAUGACGGAGAAUAUAAUAAAUUUAACCCUAGAGAUCCUCUUCCGACUUACUGGAGAGGACUACACAGUAGUGAAGAAGACCUCUAGUGAGCGCUGUCAGGACCCUG